UACGUAGGGUGCGAGCGUUAAUCGGAAUUACUGGGCGUAAAGCGUGCGCAGGCGGUUUUGUAAGCCAGGUGUGAAAUCCCCGGGCUUAACCUGGGAAUGGCAUUUGGGACUGCAAGGCUGGAGUGCGGCAGAGGAGACUGGAAUUCCUGGUGUAGCGGUGAAAUGCGCAGAUAUCAGGAGGAACACCGAUGGCGAAGGCAGCUCGCUGGGACGGUACUGACGCUGAGGCGCGAAAGCGUGGGGAGCAAACAGG
rnacentral:rRNA from 1 species